GAUGCACAAUGGCGCGCUCUCUCUCUCUCCCCCUCCUCGCCUGCACAACCAGCAUAUCCGCGUAGUUGCAGUUGUAUUGUUCCGGCGAAGCAUGUGGGGUUUAUGGGGCUUUUGUGGGGCUAAUCGUGAACAAGGAGUAAUCAGACGGCAACGGCAUUGAGGACGGCGACGACGCAACUCUUGUAUCAGAGGUAAUUUCUUCUGGGUUUUGGAGACUCGAGUUUUGGUGGUUUUGAUUAUACUACCUGUGUAUGGAUAUAUAUGGAUGUGUUUGUAUAUAACUGUGUAGAGCCCUAAUCUUGAUUUGGGUUUCUAAGCAAAUUAUGGGUUUGUGGUGCCGGUGAAGACGAACAGAAUGAGCAAAUUGUGGGUUUUCAAAGAGAGAGAGAAGCAAUGCCGGAGAAAGGGUGGAAAACUAGAAAUGGGUCGUUUUUCUUUUUAUCAGAGCUGGAAAUGGGUUUUGAAUAGCCCAAUUGCUUAGGUUGUUGGGUUCUGGAUUUUUGUAAGGGCUAGCUAAACACUAAUUUUGGCCUUUUGGGUAGUCUUUUGGCCUAGAAUUGGAUUGAGUCUAUUGGAGAUGCUCUCACAACACAGAUGCACACAUACCCACUUUUCUCUCUCUCCGCCCAUGGUUACCAUGCGUCUGGAUUCUUCUUUGGGUUGUGCUCAAGGCAUUCUUCUUGACACGGAAAAAAAGGGCUAGGAUUUCUCAACUGGUACAAAGAGAAAGCUCAAGAAAAAAAAUCAUUACACUAGAUUAGUUUUGUUAUAAUUCCAUUGUAGUGAUUUCCCAUUAGAACGGCUCCAUUAUAAUUAGUUUUGUUAUUGAGUUCGCGUGUAUUACAAUUUCCUUGAAGUAUGUGUUAUAGAUCUGAGAUUCUGUUUGCCAAAGUUUAAGGAAUUGUUGUUAUCUUAAUCAUCAUUACCAGUUAUCUGUGUUUGAAACCGGAGUUUCUCCAGAUUUCUGGAUUUCUGAUUAAGAAUUUUUGUUAUGUUAACCAUUAGUAUUUUGUGAUGUGUUGAUUUUUGAAUAUUUACUUCUUUGUGGCUGCUUGAACGGAUGUAUGGAAUAUAUGCAUCCUAUCUUCACGUGUUUUUUUUUUAUCGGCAUAAAAAUUUAUUAAAACUCGACAAAGGGUACAUCGAGGGUUUUUAGAAGUCAUAUCCAAGCCUCAUUAGGAAGAUGGGACAAGGAAAAUGACCAAAGGAAAAUAAAAGAAAAAAUUACAUCCAAAAGGGAAUUGAAACUGGAGCUCUCAUCAAAGAAUACAUCUUGAUGUUGAAGUGUCAUGCAUCUAAGUUGUUGGGAGGGAUCCUACAAAGCUUCAAACAGUGAAGGCAUGAGGCUUUAAGAUCCCUACGGACAAUUCCAGGGCUAGCAUCUUGAAACAGUAGUGAAUCUCAAAGGGGAGCAGAUUCAAUAUUAGUUUGAAGGCAUGCCACAAUUUGCAGGGCAAGGGCAAGCUUUAGGUGGAUUGAUACCAAAAUUUGGAUUGCAACUCUAAGUUGUGGCAAAAAUUAUUCCAAAACUUGGUUGGGCAGAGCCAAACUUGCUGCAAAAAUAGCCAAAACUUGCAGCAACCAGCUCUGAUGUAGUAGGGAUGGAGUAGUGACUUCAAGCUUGGUACAAGAUAUCCACAAUUUCGCUUAAAGCGGGGGAUGGAGUAGUGGCUUCAAGCGGGGCGACGGUGUGUGACUCGACUUUAUUUUUCCUCGCCGCCCCGCCUCACCGAAUCUAACAACUCCCCCCAAAAGCCCCACAAAUCAAUUAAUUUCUAGUCUCUGACUGAACAAAUUAAUUGAUUUGUACGACUCCAAAAUUUUGAUUCAUUUUAUGUAUUGUUUGGCUGGGUAUCUUAACCAUUGAUUUUUGGUGAAUGUUGUUAUGUUGCAUGCAAGUGGGUUAUCUUCUUAAAAUCAAGCCUUCUGUUUACUACCAAGUAAUAUGAACUUUCAAUAGAGAAUAUACGUGUGUAGGUACAAUCUUUAUCUCUCUUAAGUUAUCUCUGAUUCUUCCUUUUCCAAGAAUUUUUUUGUUGCUUCUUAUUUUAUUGUUUCUAUUACAUUGGGGCAACAAUGUGUAACUUUGUGUGUUACUAUACUUAAUAGACCAGUCAUUUUGGUUUUGGAGUGCUUUGUUGGCAAAUGAAACCCAUGAAUUAUGUAUAGCAAAUCCUUAGAAUGUAUUUAUUUAGAUCAUAAAGCAUGUAGAUGGUUUUACUGGAGAGAAACUUCAUGUAAUUGGAGAUUGUUCAUCAUCGAACUAAAAUUCCUAAAUUUCUGAACAACCGGAGUGUAGGUUGGUAGUAUUAUUGAUCUAUUAACCUUAUGUGCGAUGAUCAUAUACAUGAUUAGUAAGUAAUCAGAGCUUAGAUUUUUUAUUAUCAUCUGCAGUUUCAAAAAUGAUUGGAUGUGCCUAUAUAAUAAUCUUCUAUGCUUACUUUAAUGGUAUUUCCUCAUUGAACUCAAUGUCAUGUUUUUGUUAUUUGUAUGAUGCGGAUAGUGCAAGUCUUGUUUUAUUUUGAGAACUGAAAGUAGGAUUUUCUUACUUCAAUUUUAAUGGGUUGUCAUAAGAUUUUAUUCAUUGAUUUUUAUAGAGAUUAAAUUCUUUCCACCAGCGGCGGAAAAAAGGGUGGAUUUUCCACCACCGCCGUUGUAGGCCCUACCGUGCGUCUAUUAUUAUAAUCUAAACUGUAGUUAUGUAUUUAAGAAUUCUAUAAACCCAUGUUUGAACGUGUACCGUAUGCACCCCUUGAAUCGCUUUGAGUUCAUAAUGCAUGCAUAAAAGUUCAUAGCAUUAAAC